GAGCCCUGCCAGGGGCGGCCCAGCGCCCUGCUGGGUGUCACCUGCAGCUCAGCCCAGGGAUGAAGGGCAGGUGUGUUUGCUGUGCUCCAUGGCCUUAACUGCAGGUGUGAGCAGCAGGAGGAGGAGGAGGGUGUGUGUCAGGAAGGAGUAAGGAGCUCCUCUGUAGGGAGAGGCUCCGGGUUUCCAGAAUGUGGAGCCGGCGUCCUGCCUCAGGGCCCAGCCCGCGACUGGAUCACAAGGGGACCUGCGUCCUAGACCUCAGGCCGUGGGGCCGCGUUCCGGGGCAGCAGAGCCCGGCUCCAGGGCGAGGACCGUCGGCCUUGCGUGAUGAACGUGGGUGCAGGUUUGCCAUAUAAUUGGCAGAACGUCAUGUGAGUUCAAGGUGUACAAGGUGAUUAUUUGGAGCAAGCAUACACUGCAGAACGAUGACACUUGGGCUAGUUAGUGAACACCGUCAUCACGUCCCAUGAUCACUGGCGGCUUUUCGUACCACUCAGGGCUUCCCCUCCGCAGCCUUCAAGCAGGCAGCGCAGUACCGUUUCCUGUGCCAACUGUGCCAUAUGGUAGAUCCCCGGGACUUCUUCACCUCAGAACUGGAAGUUCGUGCCCUUGGACCAAUGUCUCUUGUUCUCCCAGGCUCCCAGCCACCGCCAUUCUACCCUCUGUUUCUGGGUUUGGCUUUUUCAGAUUCCACAUAAGAGAGAUCGUGCAGUGUUUGUUUUUCUGUGUGCGAUUUAUUUCACUGAGCAUAUGUUGUCUCAAAUGGCAGGAUUUCCUCCUCUCUCGUGGCUGAAUAACAUUUGUAUGUGUGUGCGCACAUGCGCGUGUGUAUCACGACUUCCUUGUCCCUUCUUCUGUGGACGGAUGUUUGUGUCGUUCCCGUGUCCUACCUAGUGUGAGUAAUGACGAAUUGAACAUGGAGAUCCUAAUUUCAUUUCCAUUAACUAUAUACCCAGAGGACUGCUGGAUCGUAUGCUAUUUCCAUUUUUAACUUUUUGGGGCACCUCCGUACUGUUUUCCACCGUGGCCACACCAGUUUGCAUUCCCACUGACAGUGCACAAGGGUUCCUCCUCCUCCACAUCCUCGCCAACACUUCUUCCCUGUCUUUUGGCUGACAGCCAUUCUAACAGGUGUGAGGCGGUAUCUCAUUGUGGUUUCGGUGUGCAUUUUCUUAAUUAGCAAAGUGAAGCCUCUUUUCACCUGGGUACAAGUUGGCCAUUUGUAUGUCUUCUUUGGAAAAACAUCUAUUCAGGUCCUCUGAC